rnacentral:rRNA from 1 species
GAUGAACGCUGGCGGCAGGCCUAACACAUGCAAGUCGAGGGGGAGGUUACGUUCGGGUAACUGAGACCGGCGUACGGGUGCGUAACGCGUAUACAAUCUGCCUUUCACUGGGGGAUAGCCCGAAGAAAUUUGGAUUAAUACCCCAUAGUAUAGUAAUACGGCAUCGUGAUGCUAUUAAAGCUUAGGUGGUGAACGAUGAGUAUGCGUUCUAUUAGCUAGUUGGAGAGGUAACGGCUCCCCAAGGCGUUGAUAGAUAGGGGUUCUGAGAGGGAUGUCCCCCACACUGGUACUGAGAUACGGACCAGACUCCUACGGGAGGCAGCAGUGAGGAAUAUUGGACAAUGGUCGGAAGACUGAUCCAGCCAUGCCGCGUGCAGGAUGAAGGUCUUAUGGAUUGUAAACUGCUUUUGUAAGGGAAGAAUAAGGGCUACGCGUAGUUUGAUGACGGUACCUUACGAAUAAGCAUCGGCUAACUCCGUG